rnacentral:rRNA from 1 species
UGGGGAAUAUUGGACAAUGGGCGAAAGCCUGAUCCAGCAAUGCCGCGUGAGUGAUGAAGGCCCUAGGGUUGUAAAGCUCUUUUACCCGGGAUGAUAAUGACAGUACCGGGAGAAUAAGCCCCGGCUAACUCCGUGCCAGCAGCCGCGGUAAUACGGAGGGGGCUAGCGUUGUUCGGAUAUAUUGGGUUUAAAGGGGUGCGUAGGCGUCCUGACAAGUUUUAGGUGAAAUGCCCAGGCUUAACCUGGGAGCUGCCUGAAAAACUGUUGGGAUUGAGUACAGACGAGGUAGGCGGAAUUGACGGUGUAGCGGUGAAAUGCAUAGAUAUCGUCAGGAACACCGAUAGCGAAGGCAGCUUACUGGACGGUAACUGACGUUGAGGCUCGAAAGCGUGGGGAGCAAACAGGAUUAGAUACCC